rnacentral:rRNA from 1 species
AUUGAACGCUGGCGGCAAGCCUAACACAUGCAAGUCGAACGAGUUGCGGACGGGUGAGUAAUGUCUGGGACACUGCCUGAUGGAGGGGGAUAACUACUGGAAACGGUAGCUAAUACCGCAUACCAACGGAUUUGCACAGAUGGGCUUAGCUUGUAGGUGGGUUAAAGGCUCACCUAGGCGACGAUCCCUAGCUGGUCUGAGAGGAUGACCAGCCACACGGGAACUGAGACACGGUCCAGACUCCUACGGGAGGCAGCAGUGGGGAAUAUUGCACAAUGGGCGCAAGCCUGAUGCAGCCAUGCCGCGUGUAUGAAUAAGGCCUUCGGGUUGUAAAGUACUUUCAGCGGGGAGGCGUUACCCGCAGAAGAAGCACCGGCUAACUCCGUGCCAGCAGCCGCGGUAAUUC